AAUGCAAUGGUUUUGGAUUCUACAAGUUUGCGAUUAAUCUGGAGGUGCGUUGGUUGCAGCUAAUGUUAUUUCCGUCGAUUAUAGUUUGUAGCUUGUAUCUUAAUAAAUUAGGGAUUAAUUGUAAAUAUUAGACCACUUGCGAUUAAUCUAGAGGUACCAGUUUGCGAUUAGUCUGGAGUUUUCAGGUACGUUUGUAGCAGCUAAUAUUAAGGCCAUCGCUGCUGGGAUGCCGUGGCUUUGGAUUCCACAAGUUUGCGAUUAAUCUGGAGGUGCGUUGGGUGCAGCUAAUGUUAUAUCAGUCGAUUAUAGUUUGUAGCUUGUAUCUUAAUAAAUUAUUAAUUAAUUGUAAAUAAAUGUAUUUUGGUUUUAA